rnacentral:rRNA from 1 species
UACGAAGGGGGCUAGCGUUGUUCGGAAUUACUGGGCGUAAAGGGCGCGUAGGCGGUCUUGUAAGUCAGAUGUGAAAGCCCCGGGCUCAACCCGGGAAUAGCAUUUGAUACUGCGAGGCUUGAGUCCGGGAGAGGAUGGCGGAAUUCCCAGUGUAGAGGUGAAAUUCGUAGAGAUUGGGAAGAACACCGGUGACGAAGGCGGCCAUCUGGACCGGCACUGACGAUGAGGCGCGAAAGCGUGGGGAGCAAACAGG